rnacentral:rRNA from 1 species
CGCAGCCGCGGUAAUUCCAGCUCCAAUAGCGUAUAUUAAAGUUGCUGCAGUUAAAAAGCUCGUAGUUGAAUUUCGGGAUCAAUUUGCUGGUCGUGCUGUGGUACGUACUGGUUUUGUUGAUUCCUCCUUUCCGAGGAACCGCGAUGUCAUUAAUUUGGUGUCGUGGGGAAUCAGGACUGUUACUUUGAAAAAAUUAGAGUGUUUAAAGCAGGCUAACGCUUGAAUACAUUAGCAUGGAAUAAUGAAAUAGGACGUUUUGAUCCUAUUUUGUUGGUUUCUAGGAUCGACGUAAUGAUUAAUAGGGAUAGUUGGGGGCAUUAGUAUUCAAUUGUCAGAGGUGAAAUUCUUGGAUUUAUUGAAGACUAACUACUGCGAAAGCAUUUGCCAA